AAAGAGCUGCAACGGAGGGAUAAAAGAGUUUCAUGUGGCUCUGGAGCCUCAGGUUGCAGACCCCCUGCUAUAGUCCAUCACCCUGAUGGAUUCUACUGUUUUGCUCCUCUGGAAGUUCAGUCGACGCCAUUGUAAUUCUCCAGAUGUGCGGACUCCCCUCUGUUCACUGUGUGUCCUGAUUGUGUCCAUUUCCGCAACCGAACAAAAUGCCUGUGUCACAGAUUCCUUCAAUCCUGAUCCUGCUGGCAGGCCAUGUAAAGCAGCAUCUUUGUGUCUGUGGAGGAGACGGGUGCUAUCCACUACAGGGAAAAACAAGAGGAGCAGCCGGAUGAUGCUGUUUUACAAGGCAUCGUGGACAAGAUCAAGGUCCUGCUGACAGUUCUGUGUGUGGAUUUACACUUUAUCCCAAAUUUAAGGGAAGUGGAAGAGCAACAGAAGAUAUUGUAUAGAGUUUUCAUGCUCUAUGCUUGUGUUUUUUGUGCAGAAUGAGGCUAAAGUGACUUAACUUCAAAGUCCCACUCGCACUAUCGUUUUCUAGGACAUCGUUUCUGCAGAGCGGCAGGAGUUCAUUAGACAUUCACCUCUGAGUUGUGGGCAGGACAGUUGGCACGGAAAACCAGAGGAUCAGGAUCUGGACCAGCAUGGAAAACACAUUUGCCUAUACCACCCUCCACCCUGCAGCCUUCUAAAGGCAGCGGGUAGCAGGACAAUAUUUGGGGCAAAAGAUGGGAGCUUAAAAUAUGGAUUUCUGCAAAAAAUAAAAACACAAAGUGUUUCCAUUAAUCAUGCAAA